rfam:Canis lupus familiaris chromosome 2, whole genome shotgun sequence.
ACCUGGUUGGCUCAGUUGGUAGAGCAUGCCACUCUUGAUCUCAAGGUCAUGAGUUCAAGCCCCAUGUUGGGUA